UCACUGCAGAGCAGCUCUUACCAGGAGGACACUGGCUCUCAGACUGGCUGAGGAGAGCAGUGAAGAGCCCCUACAUUAUAUUUCCCAGUAGCUUUGGUACAACCUGUAGAUUUUGUAUAGGAACCUGAUCUGAAUCCAGGUUAAGCCCACAGCCACUCGUUCAGGAUCAGAAAGUCCACAUCUCCUACUGGCUCCAUGGGUAGUUGAGGAACUAGUAGGAUUAGUUUUGAACCAAGGCCUUUAGGUGCCUGAGGAGUCCCACAUCUUGCAAAGCUUCAGCAGAAGCUGUGGACCGGGGCUCAGGACCAGACCUGACUCUCUGUGAGGCGAGGCCCACAGGCACAUAGGGAGUUCCUCCACUCACAGCAAGAGGCCCAAACGGAUAUACAUGAUACUUGAUCCUCAGAAGAAGACUUGAAUACCAGUCCCACAGAGGGAAACACUUCAGCUCUUCUGUGACUUAGUUACUCUGCACUGAAUAUUGCAAAUGCCACCACUGAAAGCAAAAAGGGGGACUUGAAUUUUAAAAAGAAAAAAUUUUAAAAGGAAGGAAGGAAGGAAGGAAGGAAGGAAGGAAGGAAGGCAGGCAGGCAGGCAGGCAGGCAGGCAGGCAGGCAGGCAGGCAGGCAGGCAGGCAGGCAGGCUGGCUCAGCCAACAAACACCAAAUGCACAGGUGCCAGCAGAGAAACAGGAACAUGAAAAAUGAAGACACCGCAUCUCCUCUACAAAUCACUAUUCCUACAAUAAUGGCACAUACUACAAACAUCCUGAAAAACUUUCAGACAAAGCAUUCAAAAGAAUGAGUAUGUGCAAACAACUCAGAGAAGACGUGAUUAUGUUCUAGAAGGGCAAAAACAGAGAGCUGAACAUCAUUCUAAGACAGGAAAAUGGAGUUCAACAAAGAGACUGGCUGAGGAAAGCACAUGAUGUGGGGAAUAAAGCUCAAUAACCUGAAUUAAAACCUCAGUAGGGGCCUAGCAGUAGAAUGGAUCAUUAAAAAAUUGGGGCAUAGACAACAUAGAGAAACUGCAUCACUCAGUGAAGAGGAACAUGAGUUCUUAGCUCCUGUUCAGUCACACCUGCCUCCCUGCCUCUCAAAUUGUAAUCCCUUUGGUCAUGCUGUCUUAUUACAGCAAAAGAAAAGAAAUUAGGACAGUGUGCCGGCUACUUUUAUUUCAACUUGACACAAACUAAUCAUCAGACAGGAGGGGAGAGUCUCAAUUGAGAAAAUGCCUUCAUAAGACCAUGCUACAGUUUUGAAGCUGAAAAGGACGAAUUCCACCUGAAGCACUAAAGCCGACAUUACUCUGCAGAAUGAACAAGAACAAGCAUCCAUGAUAAAGUGGCAAGAGAUAUCUAGAGAAAUAAAGCGUCAGCAGUUUUCUGGAGAUAA